GAGGCUGCCUCCUGGUUAGGCUGGGAGUUGUUUGGGUGAGCAGUGGCUGGGCCCUGCUCUUCGGCUAGCUCCCAGGUGGGCGCCUCCGCGGAUGACUUUUAUCGACCAGCAGGUGGCGCUGUUGACAGGCAAAUUGGCUCCUGGUACAAGGGAAGCCAAGGCUUUCUGCUGGCAAUGCUGGCUAUAACAGACCUGGCCACAUGGCGCUCAGCUGGCCCCACAGCAGGUGGAACUUCCCUUCUCCUGCUCCAGGGCCCAGCAUCUCAGCAGGAGACAGAUUGCAUCAGCUGUCCCCAGACUGGCAAGAGAUAAAUGCAGUCUUCGCCCCCUCAUCGAAGGAAUUUCUCUUUGCAACAGACAGAGACCAUUGGAGAAAGCACCACCAAUCAAAAUGCAGAGCUGUGAGCCCAUCCACGGCGGAUACAUCUACCAAACAUCCCCACACAUAAGGCUCAUGGAUCGUUGCAGAAGAGGACGUGAGAGUCAGGGAUCGGGGAGUUUGCUGUGAGAUUGUGUUUCCCAGGAACAUUCGUGUGUUGAUAUAUUAAUGGCGAGAGGUUAUCAUCAGUGCUGAAGAAUGCCUCUCACAGCCGUGCCUCUGUAUCUAUGGGUAUACACAUCUAUCUAGUGUAUCUCUGUAGUUAUGUCCUUGGAGCCACUGAGAAUAAUUACAUUUAUGUUUUAUACAUUAAAAUUACACACCU